GAUCUCGUGGCUCAGCAGUAGCGCGUCUGACCCCAGAUCAGAAGUCUGUGUGUUCCAAUCACGUCGAACUCA
rnacentral:tRNA from 1 species